rnacentral:rRNA from 1 species
CCCUUGAGAGUGGCGAACGGGUGAGUAAUAUAUCGGAACGUGCCCAGUCGUGGGGGAUAACGUAGAGAAAUUUACGCUAAUACCGUAUACGAUCUAAGGAUGAAAGCGGGGGACCGUAAGGCCUCGCGCGAUUGGAGCGGCUGAUAUCAGAUUAGCUUGUUGGUGAGGUAAAAGCUCACCAAGGCGACGAUCUGUAGCUGGUUUGAGAGAACGACCAGCCACACUGGGACUGAGACACGGCCCAGACUCCUACGGGAGGCAGCAGUGGGGAAUUUUGGACAAUGGGCGAAAGCCUGAUCCAGCAAUGCCGCGUGUGGGAAGAAGGCCUUCGGGUUGUAAACCACUUUUGUACGGAACGAAAAGGUCUGCUUUAAUAAAGUGGGCUCAUGACGGUACCGUAAGAAUAAGCACCGGCUAACUACGUGCCAGCAGCCGCGGUAAUACGUAGGGUGCGAGCGUUAAUCGGAAUUACUGGGCGUAAAGCGUGCGCAGGCGGUUAUAUAAGACAGUUGUGAAAUCCCCGGGCUCAACCUGGGAAUUGCAUCUGUGACUGUAUAGCUAGAGUACGGUAGAGGGGGAUGGAAUUCCGCGUGUAGCAGUGAAAUGCGUAGAUAUGCGGAGGAACACCGAUGGCGAAGGCAAUCCCCUGGACCUGUACUGACGCUCAUGCACG